AUUUUCUAAAAUCCAGCUUUGAAAGUAUAUGGCUUCACUACAGUACUUUAAUAUGCUAAUUAAGGAUAUUUAAUUAUACCCUCUGAAACUGACCUCUUUGCUCUUUUACUUACAAUCCAGUCCAUUUAUCAUCUGCAGCACAUUCCUAUCCCUCCUUUUAGUCCCAAGUGUUUCUAAAUCCCCAUUUCUUCAGGUAUCAUCUGUCUAAAUAAUCCUGGAUAAUUGACAACUUUGUCAAUAACUGGCAGCAGCAAUUUAGCAGAAAGCACAGUUGUAAUAUCUUCCUUCUUUCAGCUUCCAGGAAGAUAGAUACACCUGAUGUUCCUGCUCAGUACUUCACAUCUCACUCUGUUUCCUGUCUCACUAUGUUUAUUUGCAUGUGUAAAACUCGAACCAGUUGAGUUUAAUUUCUUUUUCUUUUUCUUCAACCUGCUGUAUUCUCCUCUUAAUGUUUUUAGUCUUUAUCUAGGGAGGAUGAUUCAUUGCCAUAUUGACUAUUAUAAAAAUAAGCUCCCCUGUCUCCUUUGGGCAACACAGUGCUUUACCCUCAUGGAAAACCUGUCCUGGUUAUUAUUCUCUAGGAAGGGGCUGCACUUGGGGCAAGGUGCUGUUAAUAUAGCUGAGGGACAAUAAACAGUCAAACAGCUGCUGAAGAAAUUAAAUACUUGCCUGAAAGGAGAAGUGUGAUACUUCUCUAAGGUACUGGGAAUUAAUUUCUUCCUGGUCCUUUAUAAGCUUUUCAAAUAAUUGUUACUGAGCCAGAAGAAUAUACUUUCAUUUAUAAAUGCAGCAUUUAUUUGGUCCUGCAUUGUUUCAAGAGCUGGGGAAGUUGGAGUGAUGAAGUAGUCCACCAUACCAUCUUACUACAGCCUGAGGGCCUGACAGCUCUUUGAGAUGCAUUCAUUGUGCAAGGAGAGCAAAGACCUUGUGAUACAAUCUCUGCAAUCAGAGGGCAAACCUGUCCCUUCCAGUGAGGCCCUGUAGCAGCUCUGUGUAGCCUCCUGGCAUGUGCCCUUUAAUGGAACGUCUCCUUUUGUCUUCAGUAAAUCUGAUAGCAAUCAGGCAGCACAUAUGUGAGGUCAUGUUCCUGCUAUGAGGAAAGAUUGCUGUUAGCUGCUGGGAUACACUUCUGAACAGACAAUUUUCUUCAGUUUCUUAACUGCCUUUUUACAAUAGAAGUUCAAACUGUUACUAAUAAACCUGAUAGUUUA